rnacentral:rRNA from 1 species
UACAGAGGGGGCAAGCGUUGUUCGGAAUUACUGGGCGUAAAGGGCGCGUAGGUGGCCUUCUAAGUCGAACGUGAAAUCCCUGGGCUCAACCCAGGAACUGCGUCCGAGACUGGGAGGCUUGAAUCCGGGAGAGGGAUGCGGAAUUCCAGGUGUAGCGGUGAAAUGCGUAGAUAUCUGGAGGAACACCGGUGGCGAAGGCGGCAUCCUGGACCGGGAUUGACACUGAGGCGCGAAAGCCAGGGGAGCAAACGGG